AAUUUUGAACUGCAUGGUUCGAAAUUGAAAGGCGGCUUCGGCUGUCACUUAUGGAUGGACCCGCGUCCCAUUAGCUAGUUGGUGAGGUAACGGCUCACCAAGGCAACGAUGCGUAACCGACCUGAGAGGGUGAUCGGCCACACUGGGACUGAGACACGGCCCAGACUCCUACGGGAGGCAGCAGUAGGGAAUCUUCCGCAAUGGACGAAAGUCUGACGGAGCAACGCCGCGUGAGUGAUGAAGGCUUUCGGGUCGUAAAACUCUGUUGUUAGGGAAGAACAAGUGCUAGUUGAAUAAGCUGGCACCUUGACGGUACCUAACCAGAAAGCCACGGCUAACUACGUGCCAGCAGCCGCGGUAAUACGUAGGUGGCAAGCGUUAUCCGGAAUUAUUGGGCGUAAAGCGCGCGCAGGUGGUUUCUUAAGUCUGAUGUGAAAGCCCACGGCUCAACCGUGGAGGGG
rnacentral:rRNA from 1 species